AUUUCCUGUAUUGGUUGCAGUAUAUAAACAACAUAGGCUGACGACUUCCAGCGGCCUUACGUUUUGAUCACAUGUACUGGAAUGUCUUGGCUUGAGGCAGUGGAUGCUGCUCCUAUCUUAAAUGAGUGCCCCAAAUAUUUGUUGGCGUUCAAGCCGAGUCGUGUCAACAAUAAUCGUAUAUAUAUACCAUAAAUUUAGACAUGGUGAGCGUAGCCCCGUUAAGUGACAGGAAAGGGAGUGAGGCAUGAAUGGGUAUGAAAGUAGGUAUGUGUAACAUAUUCUGCCUCACCUUUCGGUCUGUGCACCCAGCGGCCUCUGCACCCAGUGGCCGUGCGUCUGUAUGAAUGACACUUGCGACAUGCUAAUGGAUGCCAGCUGCUACGGAUCCACGGCCAAAUAUACCUCCCGUCCAUACUGGUACCCCUAUUGAGUCAAAUAAGUGAACUGCCUUAUUUAGACUGCGUGGGGGGGAUGCAUUGUUCUCUACAAACAGAAAAUCAUCCAGGUACUGGAUGACGCUAUGGCACCUGCUUGUAUUUAAGGGCAGCCAACACAAGGUCUCCGCAAAAGUGUCAAAAAUCUUUGGGCUACUCUUAGAGCCCAAAGGGAGCCUUGUAAAAAAGUAAUUUAGGCCCUUCCAUUUAAUGCCAUAGUGACGGAUGGAUGGGAAGUAGCUUAAAAGCGUUCACAAUGUCAGUCUUGCUAAGUCAGGCGCCUAUGCCCACAGAUUUGAUGGCAGAUACUGCUUCAUCAAUGGUAGUGUACUGUAGGGAGAAUUCUUCAUAGGUGAUAAGAGAAUUAAGACUAGGAACUACCGAAGAAUGUGGCGCAGAGGGGUCUAUGAUUAGUCUCUGCUUAUUUGUGUUUUUCCCCGUGACCAAACCAAUAGGGUUGGUUCUCCAGCUAGAGAAAGGGGGUUCAGUAAAUGGUCCUAGUACAAUCCUUUGUGCUUGCUCAAUCAGUAGCAAUGUAUCUACUGUGUCUGUGUCGGUCAAGACUAACUGAAGAUUGUUAGACUACCAAGUCCCUUCUGGCAUCUAGAUAAGACCCGUGUGGAAACCUUGGGAGAAACCCGAAACUAAAUACUCAACCAAAUGUUUACAUGGGUGGUUGGAAUAUAGUCCCGCCAGAACUUCAAUAUGCAUUUUAUUAGGGCACAUAGCUUUUGCGUGUGCCCUGAAACAAUGAGAGCAUACAUGCAACAGACGACAUGCACUAUAAGCACAAGCCUCAACAUUAAAGUUGUUACAAAUCUGGGACUUGCCUAGAUAC